rnacentral:rRNA from 1 species
GAUGAACGCUAGCUACAGGCUUAACACAUGCAAGUCGAGGGGCAGCAUGGUCUUAGCUUGCUAAGGCCGAUGGCGACCGGCGCACGGGUGAGUAACACGUAUCCAACCUGCCGUCUACUCUUGGACAGCCUUCUGAAAGGAAGAUUAAUACAAGAUGGCAUCAUGAGUCCGCAUGUUCACAUGAUUAAAGGUAUUCCGGUAGACGAUGGGGAUGCGUUCCAUUAGAUAGUAGGCGGGGUAACGGCCCACCUAGUCUUCGAUGGAUAGGGGUUCUGAGAGGAAGGUCCCCCACAUUGGAACUGAGACACGGUCCAAACUCCUACGGGAGGCAGCAGUGAGGAAUAUUGGUCAAUGGGCGAGAGCCUGAACCAGCCAAGUAGCGUGAAGGAUGACUGCCCUAUGGGUUGUAAACUUCUUUUAUAAAGGAAUAAAGUCGGGUAUGGAUACCCGUUUGCAUGUACUUUAUGAAUAAGGAUCGGCUAACUCCGUGCCAGCAGCCGCGGUAAUACGGAGGAUCCGAGCGUUAUCCGGAUUUAUUGGGUUUAAAGGGAGCGUAGAUGGAUGUUUAAGUCAGUUGUGAAAGUUUGCGGCUCAACCGUAAAAUUGCAGUUGAUACUGGAUAUCUUGAGUGCAGUUGAGGCAGGCGGAAUUCGUGGUGUAGCGGUGAAAUGCUUAGAUAUCACGAAGAACUCCGAUUUCGAAGGCAGCCUGCUAAGCUGCAACUGACAUUGAGGCUCGAAAGUGUGGGUAUCAAACAGGAUUAGAUACCCUGGUAGUCCACACGGUAAACGAUGAAUACUCGCUGUUUGCGAUAUACUGCAAGCGGCCAAGCGAAAGCGUUAAGUAUUCCACCUGGGGAGUACGCCGGCAACGGUGAAACUCAAAGGAAUUGACGGGGGCCCGCACAAGCGGAGGAACAUGUGGUUUAAUUCGAUGAUACGCGAGGAACCUUACCCGGGCUUAAAUUGCAGAUGAAUUACGGUGAAAGCCGUAAGCCGCAAGGCAUCUGUGAAGGUGCUGCAUGGUUGUCGUCAGCUCGUGCCGUGAGGUGUCGGCUUAAGUGCCAUAACGAGCGCAACCCUUGUUGUCAGUUACUAACAGGUUCCGCUGAGGACUCUGACAAGACUGCCAUCGUAAGAUGUGAGGAAGGUGGGGAUGACGUCAAAUCAGCACGGCCCUUACGUCCGGGGCUACACACGUGUUACAAUGGGGGGUACAGAGGGCCGCUACCACGCGAGUGGAUGCCAAUCCCCAAAACCUCUCUCAGUUCGGACUGGAGUCUGCAACCCGGCUCCACGAAGCUGGAUUCGCUAGUAAUCGCGCAUCAGCCACGGCGCGGUGAAUACGUUCCCGGGCCUUGUACACACCGCCCGUCAAGCCAUGGGAGCCGGGGGUACCUGAAGUGCGUAACCGCGAGGAGCGCCCUAGGGUA